AGAGAGAGCGAUAAAGGAAAAGAUGCUCGAUCGUCGUCGGGUUUCGUCGGUUCUCGACGCCUGACGAGGUCGCGCUCAUCGUCUCCGUCGUUCGUCGGCGAAAAUGAAAGAAGCUCGUCGUCGUCUCUACGAGCAGCUGAUGGCGGCCGAGUGCCGUUCGAGCCUCCUCCGACGUUUCUCGCGUGCGCGUUCCUAGUGUGUGAGUGCGUUCAGAUUACUAUACCGAAUUCGCGGAGGAAAGUGCCGAGAGACGACGCGUGCCGAACAGAAGAAUAUAAAAAUACGACUUGUGUUAAAACGUCGCGUACCUGUGCCCCCUGUGCAUAUGAUCUAGAAACAGAAAGAGAAACAGAUAGAAAGAACGACAGAGCGAGAGAAGGAUAGAGAGAACGAUAGAGAUAGAGAGAGAGAGAAAGAGAAAGAGAAAAAGAGAGAGAGGGAAAGAGAGAGAGAGAGAGAGAUAGAGAGAUAGAAGAAAAGAGACGCUUUUCGUACGGACAGAGACCGCCCCUGGCUCGCGCGAGCUAUUUCGUAACGGUGCUUCGUACAGCCAGAGUCGACACGCAAGCACGACUGCUCGGUAAGAAUCCCCCGCCCCCUCUCCGCCACCGUCAUCGGCCAUCCGCCAUCUCCCCCGUCCUCUUACGACCUCCUCUUCAAGAGAGGAGCCUCCUCUUCGAAUCCGCCGGUGCUCUCUGUAUUUUCUAUCUAAUUCUUCGAUUCUCCGUCGAGAGAGCAAACCGGUGAGAGCGCUGCGUGCGUGAGAAAGAGAGUGUGUAAGUGUGUAAGAAAGAAAGAAAGAAAGAGAGAGAGAGAGAGAGAGAGAACGAAAGAAAGGAGAGAGAGAGAGAAGAUUUGUAUGUGACGGCGUGUGUGUGCGCGUUUUAGAGAGAGUGAGACGUAGUAGUGGGAGGAAGGUAGGGAGAGGGUUAGUACGUGUAUGCGUGCGUGCGUGCGUGCGUGCAUGCGAAAGAGUAAGAGAGAGAGAAAGAGUAAGUAAGGAAGGGAGGAGACCACCCUUCGCUCGCAGGUAGCUAGUUCAUUAUCCGCUCGUAGUGAGCAAAAAUAAUUUACGGACGACGCUUCGGUUUUACGGUGUAGGUGGAAGCCUCGACACAUAGGGGGAACACACAGGGCGUGCGUGCCCUCCCCUUCCCCCGCGUGUGACAACGCCUAACGGAGAAGGAGAAAGAGAGAUAGCGCGCGCGCGCGUUCUCUCAGAGAUAGAAAGAGAGAAAGAGAUAGAGAAAAACGAGAGCCUCUUUUCUCGGGACGAGAGAGAGAAAGAGAGAGAGAGAGAGGGAGGAAGGCAGGCAGGCAGAGAGAGAGAGAGAGAGAGAGAGAGAGAGAGAGAGAAAAAGAAUACGACGACGCACGACGAUACGACGAGUUUGCCGGCGGUGAGCGAGAACUUCGAGCAAGAGCGAGAGAGAAAGAAAUAAAGAGAGUUAUAUAGAGAAGAUAGAGAUAUAUAGAGAUAGAGAAAAGAUUCCUUCCUGGACGGAUUUAGACGUUCGAAGUAACGACGUCCACCUCGUCCGUUCUCGUCGUCGUCAUCUUCGGUUAGCUCGAUGGAUCUAUUCGAGCAGCGACACCCAUAAUCCAUCGACACGUCGACAUCUCGAAGGAAAGAUAUCUUCCUCGCCUCCACCAUCACCCCCUGCACCACCUCCCUCCUCUUCCUCUACCCUAUUCCCCCUCUCCUCUCUUUUCCUCUCCUCUCCUCUCCUCUCCCUCUGGCACCGCGGGCGCGUGCUAUGCACGACCGAAACGCGACCGUCGACCUUCUCUGCCGCAGGAACGCGUGAACAGUAGGUUACCGUGUCCAGGUAUACCACGUGCUCUCCAUUCGCGUUAGUGUGUUCUACUACCUACGUACUAAUAGUGUGCGUGCGUUGUUUGUUUGUUUGUUUGUUUGUUUGUUGUUUGUUGUUUGUUGUGUGUGUGUAUGUGUGCGUGCGUGCGUGCGUGCGCGUGUAUAUGUGUAUGUGUCUAGCUCUCUGUGUGUACGUUCGUACGUGCGCGCGCGCGCGUGCCAUCGACAUCACUUAGAGAAGCUCAUCCAUCCCCCUUACCUGUUUUACUUAAUAUCGUGAAAGUGCAGUGAGUCGUAAUAUCGACGUAAACGUCCACGCGGAAUGCGGCCUCCUCGAGGUGGACGACGCCAUCGUCUCUAAUCGCCGUCGCCGCAAACGCCGCCACCGGCGUCGUCGAUCGUCGUCGUCGUCGUCGUCGUCGCCGUCGCCGCCGCCGUCGUCGUCGUCGUCGAUCGUCGUCGUCGUCGUCGUCGUCGACGUCGUCCGGGAAAUCGGGGCACGAACGUGAAGUACAAUCGUUCAAGACGACGACGAGUUCACCCUACAGAUACUUAGAGUGCCUCCGAGUACGAUUCCCAACAUGUCGUCAGGGACUUUCGUCGAUCGGAUAGAUCCCUUCGCUAAGCGAUCGCUUAAGAAGAAGUCGAAGAAGUCCCAGAGUUCCUCGCGAUAUAGAAACUCACAGGACGUCGAGCUACAACAGCUACCACAGCUCAAAGAUGUUACGCCGUCAGAGCAAGAAGAUUUGUUUAUUAGAAAACUUCGACAAUGCUGUGUGGCGUUCGAUUUUAUGGAUCCUAUGGCGGAUCUCAAGGGGAAGGAAAUUAAACGCAGCACCCUCAACGAAUUGGUGGAAUACAUCACGGCUGGACGAGGCGUUCUUACCGAACCUGUUUACCCAGAAAUCAUUAAGAUGAUAUCAGCGAAUCUUUUCCGUACGUUGCCACCUAGUGAAAAUCCAGACUUUGAUCCAGAAGAAGAUGAUCCAACACUGGAGGCGAGCUGGCCCCACCUUCAGUUGGUUUAUGAAUUCUUUCUUCGUUUUCUCGAGUCUUCAGACUUCCAACCUGCCAUUGGCAAGAAAGUUAUUGACCAAAAAUUUGUUUUACAAUUAUUGGAAUUAUUCGACUCGGAAGAUCCUAGGGAAAGAGACUUUCUCAAGACCGUUUUACAUCGUAUUUACGGCAAGUUCCUUGGUCUUCGAGCGUUCAUACGCAAACAAAUUAAUAACAUUUUUCUGAGGUUCGUUUAUGAGACGGAACACUUUAAUGGUGUAGGUGAACUUCUCGAAAUUCUUGGUAGCAUCAUUAACGGAUUUGCUCUACCUUUAAAAGUAGAGCACAAACAGUUUUUGAUUAAGGUGUUACUACCAUUACACAAAGUGAAGUGUUUAUCGCUCUAUCAUGCACAGUUAGCUUAUUGCGUUGUACAAUUCUUGGAGAAAGACGCAACCUUAACGGAACCAGUUGUACGAGGCCUCCUUAAGUUCUGGCCUAAGACGUGCAGCCAGAAGGAGGUAAUGUUCCUUGGUGAGAUUGAGGAAAUUCUUGAUGUCAUAGAACCUAGCCAAUUUGUUAAAAUCCAAGAGCCUUUGUUCAGGCAAAUCGCACGUUGCGUAUCCUCGCCGCAUUUCCAGGUCGCAGAGAGAGCAUUGUACUUCUGGAAUAACGAGUAUAUAAUGUCGCUAAUAGAGGAGAACAAUCAUGUAAUAAUGGCGAUCAUGUUCCCCGCAUUGUAUAAAAUUAGCAAGGAGCAUUGGAAUCAGACGAUCGUAGCACUUGUUUAUAAUGUACUCAAAACGUUUAUGGAGAUGAACAGCAAGCAAUUCGAUGAACUUACUGCCAGCUAUAAGUCUGAAAGGCAAAAAGAAAAGAAAAGGGAAAAGGAGAGAGAAGAAUUAUGGAAAAAAUUAAACGAACUCGAAAUAGAGCGACGCAGUGCACUAACAGAAACAUCCAACAAUUCUGUUCCUGCCACGACUGCACCUGCGACGCGAACCCGCCCCUGAGCUAGUACGUAUGUUCAAUUUAAAAAUGACUCAAUUGUUUUGAGCCUUUUUAUAUUUUUGGAACUCGAAAUAUUCACGUGGACAUACACUAUUACGCUGCCCAAUUAUUAGUCCUUAGUUUACGUCGAUUGUCCAUACACUACAUGCAAGAAAUUAUCGUUGUUAGAAAGAAAGAGACAGAAGGAAGGAAAGAGAAAGAAAAGAAGAGAGAAAGAAACAAAUAUCUCACGAUGGCAUUCUUGACGUAAAAUACAAUUCCUUUCGUUACAGUCGCGCCCGGAAGGCAAAAUGGAGUUCGUAAAAAAAAAUAUAUAUAUAUGAAAGAAAGAAAGAAAGAAAGAAAGAAAGAAAGAAAGAAAGAAAGAAAAAAACAAGAAGAGGAGAAGAAGAAGAAGAAGAAGAAGAAGAAGAAGAAGAAGAAGAAGUAGGAGGAAUUGAAGGAAGAAGCAGAAAAUCGCAAUUGUAUUGUUCUCUGACGCCAUGAUUGAUGAUGAUAAUUUUUAAUAAUUUUAUUCUGUGUACAUUAAUGUUUAUUUUUCUUUUUUUCGGAUGAAAAUCAGCAAUCAUUUAAGUUGUAUAAUGUACUCUCAGUGUCAGCACGUAAAAUACGAGGAUGAUGUUAGUGUCCCUUUCUUAAAGCUAAGAUUUCAGCUGUGCUCGGUGGGAGGGGACGAUCGGGAUGUAAAUUUGAAUGAAUGCAGCAGUAUCGUUACGAACCUUGUUUAAACUCCUACCAAAAAGCAACCACCCACCUACCAACCUACCCAUUAUAUCCCCUCCCCCACAAUUAUUUUUCUUUCGUUUUUUUCUCUUUAUCUUUUUCUCUCUCUUUUUCUCUCUUUCUCUCUCUCUCUCUUUUUCUCUCUCUCUCUCUCUCCUUUCUUUUCUUUUCUUUUCGACGUGACAUCGCACUUCGGACUAUAAAUAAUGGCUAGUGUCUCGUUCGCCUGUGACUGACUCUGACUUUUACUAUGAUCCUCACCUCCGACGGAGCCAGCGGGGGGGGGCGUUGUUUGAAAAUGUAUCAUAUAUUCGUAUUAAUGAUGAUAACUAUAACAAAACGUAAUAAAUUAGGUAAAUAUAUAUAUAUAUAUACAUAAUACAAUAUAUUAAUAAAAAUAUAGUAAUAUUGAUGAUACAAGAAAAAUUACGCAGUCGUACAUACAACAGGAAUAUACCAAAAGCGGCAAUUUUAAUAAAAUGCGUGUAUUAAGCAUAUAUACGUACUACAUACAUACGAACUUCAUGCGCUACCGAAGAAACACUAACGUUGUUUAUGCAGACUGCAUGCACGCACGCACGCGCAGCAACUAAAUAAUGGAACUAACUUUUUUCCACGAACGAAAGGAUCGUAGUGAGACGGUAUAUGCAUAAUAACGGCACAUCCGAGAACGAUAUAUAUAUAUAUAUGUGUGUGUGUGUAUAUAUGUAUAUCGACGAAAAAUCGGGAGUAGGGGGUUGGGGGUGGGGGCCGAUCCGCCAAAAAAAGAGAAAUACGUAAAAAAAAGUAUGGUUCUUUUUUUUCUAAAUAAAAGAGAAGAAAAAAUAAUAAAAAGAUAUGAAGGGCAAGUAUAUACAAUAAUAAUAAUAAUAAUAAUAAAUAAUAAAUAAUAAAUAAUAAAUAAUAAUAAUAAUAAUAAAAAAAAGUUUAAUUGUACCAAAAUAUUCAUUGCUUAUAAAUAUAAUGAUUAAUAGAGAUUACGAUGCAUAAGAUUUAUUCGGAGCUGUGCUCCCACUGUGGCCACCGUGAAAACGUGGGAUCGUUUUUAAAAUUUCUUACGAUUGCAUAAUAAUAUAAUAUUAAUAAUAGUAAUAAUAAUAAUUAAUAAAUAAUAAAUAAUAAUAACGAUAAUUAAUAAUAACGGUAAUGAUAAUAUUGAUAAUAAAUAAUACAAAUAGUAAUAGUGAUAAUAACGAUAAUAAUAAAAAUAAUAAUAAUAAUAAAUAAUAUUAAAAAUAAUGAUAAUAAAUAAUAACAAACAAAUAAUAGCAAUUAAUAAAUAGAUGAUUAAACAUUGAGUAAUCAUACUUGCUCAUAUUUUCAUGAACUAGUUGGAAAAAAAAACCUAUAUACAUUUAUUAUUAUCUUUCAUGUUUUACAUUGUUCGUCAAAUAUUUUUCAUCGUACUGUCUCUUAAUAUACUUUUUUAUUUUGUACUUCUCAUUCGCUUCGUGAAAUGAAAUUAGUUGCUAGAAAGAAAGUGAAGUACAUGAUUAUUGUAAAUGCUGUAAUGUAACUCCGAGAAACGUAGGUAGUAUCGUACAAAGUCUUUAAUGCGUAAAUAGGCACUUUAUUGAUUGAAUGUCUAAUUUAUUUUUACUCUGUUACUUUUUUCAAUGCAGCUUACAUGCAAAUAUAAAUUAAAGGAAAAAAAAAAAAAAAAAAUAGGAACUACAUUCUGAUGCAAAUUGUUUUUAUAUCACUGUAAUAUCAAAACCACAGUAGUUCAUUCAUGCGUGGCCUAAUCCCUGUUAGCCCUGCAGAUUUUCCUUUUUCUCAUUGUGAACACAGUUCUAUUGUCAUUUAGAUAUUUGACAUUUAAUUUUCAUUGUGAGUAAAGACAUCACCGGUCAAGUCAGAAAAGCGGGGUAUAUUGUCUUUGAUCAUAUAUAUAUAUAAAAAGGAAAAAAAAAAGAAAAAUAAUGUAGAUUGUAAUACUGUUACGAUUCAUUAAGAAAAAUGGAAAUCACAUAAUAUAUCAAUAUUUUUUUACAGCAUGACAAUUGCAUUUCUACCACCAUGUAGGACCAGUAGAAUUCAUUACUAAAACAUUGAAGUUAUAAUAAGAAUAAAACAACGUAUGGAUAUAUAACAUGUCUGCUGCAGGGAAACAUAGACUUGGAAGAAGCUGCCUCAAACAGUUGUUUUACCUCAGCUUAAUUAUGCUAGAAAUGCACGAUACGUAAAAAGAAACUAUACAAACGUGAGAUGCACUGUGAUAGUUAACAAACAAAACCUAUCAUUAAACAACUGUUAUUGAUAGUUA